GAGUGAAGCGGCAACAGCUCAAAUUUGAAAUCUGGCCUCUUAGGGGUCCGAGUUGUAAUUUGGAGAGGAUGUUUCGGGUACGGUCCGGGCUUAUAUUUCUUGGAACAGAAUGUCAUAGAGGGUGAGAAUCCCGUCUGGAGCUCGGACACGACCUAUGUGAAACUCCUUCGACGAGUCGAGUUGUUUGGGAAUGCAGCUCUAAAUGGGUGGUAAAUUUCAUCUAAAGCUAAAUAUUGGCCAGAGACCGAUAGCGCACAAGUAGAGUGAUCGAAAGAUGAAAAGCACUUUGAAAAGAGAGUUAAACAGUACGUGAAAUUGUUGAAAGGGAAGCGCUGGCGACCAGACUUGCGCGUCGGGGUUCCCCCUUGCUUCUGCCUGGGUUACUCCCCGGCGUUCAGGCCAACAUCGGUUUCGGGGGUUGGUUAAAGGCCCUGGGAAUGUACCUACCCUCCGGGGUAGACUUAUAGCCCAGGGUGUCAUGCGACCUCCCGGGACCGAGGAACGCGCUUCGGCUCGGAUGUUGGCGUAAUGGUUGUCAGCGACCCGUCUUGAAACACGGACCAAGGAGUCUAACAUCUAUGCGAGUGUUAGGGUGUCAAACCCUUACGCGGAAUGAAAGUGAACGGAGGUAGGAAGCCUUUAGGCUGCACUAUCGACCGAUCCUGAAGUUUACGGACGGAUUUGAGUAAGAGCAUAGCUGUUGGGACCCGAAAGAUGGUGAACUAUGCCUGAAUAGGGUGAAGCCAGAGGAAACUCUGGUGGAGGCUCGCAGCGGUUCUGACGUGCAAAUCGAUCGUCAAAUUUGGGUAUAGG
rnacentral:rRNA from 1 species